GGGGCUGUUUGGUUUUGACAGCAGGUAGAAAAGGUAAGUAAGCAUGUCGAGCGCUGUGAAAUCUGCUCGUAAAUCUCGAAUCUCAAAACAAUAACUGGCGAAAACAAUUACGCUCUUGCUGCUUAAUCGAAUCAUAGUAGAUUUGAGCUUAAUUCCGAUGCAAGGCAACGGAACAAGACAUCUCUCAAAUGCCGUCGCUCCGAGGCGAUUUGAUACAGAGGUGCAGCUAAAUCGGGGAUAGUUUUGGUUAGCUUCGUAACUAAAGCGAAAAUUUAGAAGAUAAGGUAAAAGUUGGUUGCUUUGGUCUUGCUUUUACUCGAAAACUUAAGCGAAGAUAAACAUGUAGAAAGCUUAUUGUUUCCUUGUUUGGACGAGGGUUCGACUCCCUCCAGCUCCACAA
rnacentral:tmRNA from 1 species